ensembl:lncRNA
AGAUGAGACUAAUGAAUGAUUUUCAGAAGGAAGUGACAAUCUUUUGGAUUCGCCACCCACAAAAGUACAUGGAGGAGAUAAUAGAGUACUUUCUCCCUCCUGUCCUUACACCCUGAACACGGAUUAGAGACACGAGGGUCAGAGAAAGCCUUGCACCUCAUUGCCUUACUGGAUAUCAAAGCCACCUGGUUUAAUAGGUGGAUGGUGUGCACAAUAUAAACCUAGCUUCUAUUAACACUACAAGAAACCAACCCCCCCGCCCAUAAGUAGGCUAACUAAUUGUCAGUGCUGAGUGAAGAUGAUGUCAGUCCUGUCUCCUACAGCAGGACCGUGGUCUACAGGCGUCUGGAGAUGAAGUACAAGUCUCUGAUUGUAGCAGCUCUUCAGCAGUGUAUCUAUUGAGUCCUGUGACCCAUUCAUAGACGAGACGGGUGAGGUCAUCCACUCUAUCGAGAACCAGCACAUCAGUGAGUUCAACUUUAAUCUACACAGGACGAAAGAUAUAUACAAAAUAAUUGAUGUACACAACUGUACACAAUUCUGAGCACCAGUUUUGACUCGCAUUGCUAAAAGUACUCUACACUGCCAAAAAGCUGGAAUACACAUAUUUUGUUCACUCAUUAUGUGUGCUAGGAAGGCUUCUCAUGUACAUGAAUGGGAGAAAGCUCUUUCCCAUCAAAGUGGGGAAAAGCAAAGAUCCAGUCAGUCUGACAGACCUGGUUGUCAUUCUGAUUAGCAUCAUGUACCAAC